ensembl:misc_RNA 7SK 7SK RNA
GGAUGUGAGGGCGAUCUGGCUGCGACAUCUGUCACCCCAUUGAUCGCCAGGGUUGAUUCGGCUGAUCUGGCUGGCUAGGCGGGUGUCCCCUUCCUCCCUCACCGCUCCAUGUGUGUCCCUCCUGAAGCUGCGCGCUCAGUCGAAGAGGACGACCUUCCCCGAUAGAGGAGAGGACCGUUCUUCGGUCAAGGGUAUACGAGUAGCUGCGCUCCCCUGCUAGAACCUCCAAACAAGCUCUCAAGAAAAAGAAAAAAAAAUUCAAAUUGGAAAGAAAGAUAAACUAUCCCUAUUUGCACAUGACGUGAUUCUAUAUAUAGAAAAUCCCAAAAA